ensembl:lncRNA
CCACAGGGGAACUGGCCUCACUUUGUCUAGGCAAAGUGGGGUAAUCAUUUCUCCAGUGUCCUGCUUGUCCAGUUUGGACUGGGUCCUGGCAGCAGGCAAGGCAUUGGGGUAAUCUUGCCCAGUGGUUAGCACUACCACAAUCAAGGUGGAGUCACAGUCAUGCCCCAUUAUAUUUUUGGAGACAUUGGUUUGGGGGGGGGUCACUGUAGGAGCUGGUGUCUCUGUCUGACAUAGUAAGCAUAUAUUUUUUAAAUAUCAUACUGUAGGAUGAUGCCAUUAUGCAGCAAGGCAGGUCCAGGAUAAGGCAAAGCCUAUCAUUGGAUGAGAAGGAAGGGUAGGCGGGAAAAAGUCUAGGAAGGAGAGAUGGAAAGGAGAAGUGAGAGAAUCAAGAUGGAGACGACGGAGCGAGAUGAUCCAGAUCCAGACAUAGGAGCAUCCGGCCCUUGCAUUCUUCGAUACCACCACACGAUGGCACCAGACUCCUGCUAAUCGCGUAACUGGCCUAGUCCUUUAAGCGUUCCUUAAAGCGCUGGGUCUCAGGUUAAAAGAAUUGAAGAGAGUGAGGCACUAGCAUAUGAAGCUAAUUUCUUCCCCAAACCCCAUCAUUUCCCACACCUGUAUGUGUUCACAGAUCUCUGUAAGUAAUUUGGCUUUUAUCUAUUUCAAUACAAUGCAUUUUUUUGCACGUGUAAGGUGAACUAAAAAGGGGUCUAAGUUAUUACUCUAACAAGUUAUGGCUUAAGCUCGGGGUAGGUAGCUCAGGGGCAGAGUGCAUGUGUUCACUACCCAACAAGAAAAACACAAGAGCAUCAAAAUAAAAAUUGUAUUUAUUUAUUUAUACAAUCUUUCUAUUAAUUCUUUAUGAGUUUCCCAUCAGUACCACUUAUCUCCCCAUCUGCUCACAUCCACCCUUGAGGCCCUUCACCAAAAUAACACACAGCAGCAGCAGCAGCAGCAGCAGCAGCAGCAGCAGCAGCAGCAGCAGCAGCAGCAGCAGCAGCAACAACAACAACAACACAAAGCAUAGAAAACAUCUCAUCGUGGAG